UACGGAGGGUCCAAGCGUUAUCCGGAUUUAUUGGGUUUAAAGGGUUCGUAGGCGGGGUAUUAAGUCAGUGGUGAAAGCCCACAGCUCAACUGUGGAACUGCCAUUGAUACUGGUACUCUUGAGUAUAGUAGAAGUUAGCGGAAUGUGUCAUGUAGCGGUGAAAUGCUUAGAUAUGACCCAGAACACCGAUUGCGAAAGCAGCUAACUAUGUUAUUACUGACGCUGAGGAACGAAAGCGUGGGGAGCGAACAGG
rnacentral:rRNA from 1 species